UGCGCCCCAAACUGAGAACCGAGACGGGGCUCAAGCCUCCGCACCACAGAGACCACCAGCUGGAACAAAACCGGAAUAAAACACGGAGCCGCUGCAGGAUCCGACCUCCGUAGACCCACCGAGGACCACUGGACAUUCACCGGGACCACAGCGGACAGAAGGUGGGAGGAGAGCGGAGACAGGCGGGGUCUGUCGCUCGGAAGCUGCCUGUCUGUCCGCCUGCAGACGGGUCUCAGGUCCGGAGACAUGGCGGCGUGAAGGUCCAGAUGUUGGCCUGUGAUGAUGCUCCAUGAUCAGACAGACACACGGACAACUCUGUCAGUCCUUAAGAGGCUGAUCCAGGACUUCAGUCAGCUUUGGAUGUAACCAAGACUGAAAGGACGACAUGUUGUCCCCAAGGUGGACCCGUCUGCCUGCUUCGUUGGUCCUGGUCCUGGUUUUGUCCCGCUCAGUGUCAGCGGCCCGCUCUGACAGAAACAUGGUGUCGGAGGAGAACGUGGGCGCCACGGUGAACACCACGGUUCUGGAUGGACGGGGAAACCCUGUCCACCUGAUGAGCAGCGAUGACGGGACGUACGGACAGAACUCGCCUAAAGUGGACACCAGGGGACGCGUCAUCGCACCUGUACAGCAUCAUGGAGGUACUGACAUCACAUCACACUUGAGGUCACAUCACACCUGAGGUCACAUCACACCCAGGGUAGGAAAUUUACAUAUUUUUUUGGGGGCACUUUUUGCCCCCACUGACUGAAAUCCAGGGGCAUUUA